UAGUAGGCAUGCCCACAGGGGGUCAGUGGUGAUCAUGCUGGGAAGAGGAUGCAGUAGCGUAAGAUUCUGCAGAACAUAAUGAGUCAGACGUGCAGUACAUAAUGAGUCAGACGUGCAGCUCACUUGUUUUUCUUUUUCUGUGUGUUUUUUUUUUAAAUAUUCACUGGCAACAUCUCCUUGUCCCUCAUCUUAUAAUCCCUAUUGCUUUAAUUCGGUAGUGCUUCAGUGUUCUUGGGUAGCAUCGGAUGUGUUGCUUCUGUAAAAUGUAAACACUGAUAGAUUACAGCCAUUACACCUUACACACAAACAAACACAAACAAACUGUUAUAUAUAGAAUUUUCUGUUUUGAUAUAUAAUUGACCAAAGCUGCAUUUAUUUGAGCAAAAAUACUAAAAAGAAAUAUUACUGUGAAAACUUACAUUAUUAUAUUAUUAUCAUUAAAAAGUAUUCCCCAAACUUACCAACUUGCUUGCAUUCCACACAAUCUGGCUUGCUUAAAUGUUCCAGCCAUGGCAAUUAACAUAGUUUAACAUCAGAAGUGCUUGUUUUUUUUGUUUUUUUUCUAAUGCAUGAGAAAUAUCAAACAGCAUAUUGUAAAAGAGUGUUUACCUGAGUUUCUGAAAAGCAACACAUUUUAAAAACACGUUGAAAUGUUUUUUUUUUUUUUUUUUUUACGUCCUAAAGAGACUAAUUUUAGCUUUUUAGUAAUGUUCUUCUGACCUUCCUCUGCAGUGCUAUUACACUAAUUUUAUUACACGGCUCUGUGGAAUACUUGAUUCUGAUUGGUCAGUCGCGACAUUCCGAGGUAUGUUAUCCCUGGAUGACAACCUGUAAAAGCUAAUAACACAGGCUCAUCCGGGUAACAGCAGUCGGCGCUGUACUCUUGCUUGAACUAUUUUUGUUCUUGGUGGAAGCUUUCCAUUUGUUUAGCUAACAAAAUAUUAAAACUCGAUUCAAAAUGGUGUACAAUUGUUUAAUUAUGUCAUCCUGGUAUCGUGGACUCGCUCUUGUUUCAUACAAACCCAGCUGCUGCCAUUUUGCUACGAUUAUUUUGUACGCUGUAAUGGAUUAUAAGAGAACUAACAAACUGUGGAAAAUUGUUCCAGUCUCAUCAUAACUGCAUUCCUCAC
ensembl:lncRNA